GAUGAACGCUAGCUACAGGCUUAACACAUGCAAGUCGAGGGGUAGCAGGGUAGCAAUACCGCUGACGACCGGCGCACGGGUGAGUAACACGUAUCCAGCCUUCCCAUAACUCUGGGAUAGCCUUUCGAAAGAAAGAUUAAUACCGGAUGGUACUUUUUCAAGGCAUCUUGAGAAAGUUAACGAUUUAUUGGUUAUGGAUGGGGAUGCGUUCCAUUAGAUAGUUGGUGAGGUAGCGGCUCACCAAGUCUUCGAUGGAUAGGGGUUCUGAGAGGAAGGUCCCCCACAUUGGUACUGAGACACGGACCAAACUCCUACGGGAGGCAGCAGUGAGGAAUAUUGGUCAAUGGGCGAGAGCCUGAACCAGCCAAGUAGCGUGAAGGAUGAAGGUCCUAUGGAUUGUAAACUUCUUUUAUAGUAGAAUAAAGUGACCCACGUGUGGGUUUUUGUAUGUAUACUAUGAAUAAGGAUCGGCUAACUCCGUGCCAGCAGCCGCCGCCGUAA
rnacentral:rRNA from 1 species